rnacentral:rRNA from 1 species
GGCGCACGGGUGAGUAACACGUAUCCAACCUGCCGUCUACUCUUGGACAGCCUUCUGAAAGGAAGAUUAAUACAAGAUGGCAUCAUGAGUCCGCAUGUUCACAUGAUUAAAGGUAUUCCGGUAGACGAUGGGGAUGCGUUCCAUUAGAUAGUAGGCGGGGUAACGGCCCACCUAGUCUUCGAUGGAUAGGGGUUCUGAGAGGAAGGUCCCCCACAUUGGAACUGAGACACGGUCCAAACUCCUACGGGAGGCAGCAGUGAGGAAUAUUGGUCAAUGGGCGAGAGCCUGAACCAGCCAAGUAGCGUGAAGGAUGACUGCCCUAUGGGUUGUAAACUUCUUUUAUAAAGGAAUAAAGUCGGGUAUGGAUACCCGUUUGCAUGUACUUUAUGAAUAAGGAUCGGCUAACUCCGUGCCAGCAGCCGCGGUAAUACGGAGGAUCCGAGCGUUAUCCGGAUUUAUUGGGUUUAAAGGGAGCGUAGAUGGAUGUUUAAGUCAGUUGUGAAAGUUUGCGGCUCAACCGUAAAAUUGCAGUUGAUACUGGAUAUCUUGAGUGCAGUUGAGGCAGGCGGAAUUCGUGGUGUAGCGGUGAAAUGCUUAGAUAUCACGAAGAACUCCGAUUGCGAAGGCAGCCUGCUAAG